AAGUUUGGUCAUACCACUUUGUCACUGCCUGAUCUCAUCAGAUCUCACAAGCUAAGCAGGGCCAGGACUGGUUAAUACUUGGUUAGGAGACCACUGGGAACACCAGGUGCCACAGUGA
rnacentral:rRNA from 1 species